rnacentral:rRNA from 1 species
UACGGGGGGAGCAAGCGUUGUUCGGAUUUACUGGGCGUAAAGGGCGCGUAGGCGGUCGUGACAAGUCACUUGUGAAAUCUCCGGGCUUAACUCGGAACGGUCAAGUGAUACUGUCGGACUAGAGUACAGAAGGGGCAACUGGAAUUCUCGGUGUAGCGGUGAAAUGCGUAGAUAUCGAGAGGAACACCUGCGGCGAAGGCGGGUUGCUGGGCUGAUACUGACGCUGAGGCGCGAGAGCCAGGGGAGCGAACGGG